rnacentral:lncRNA from 1 species
UGUGUGUGUGUGUGUGUGUGUGUGUGUGUUCACUUGCAUGCCUGGCUUCGGAGUUCAUUAAGAAUGUUGAAUAGAAAGCAGCGAGUGGUUGUUGUUGUCGUCGUCGUCGUCGUCCUCAAACUUCCUUUAAUAACCAAUGGUCAUUGCUUUCACUUUCGCUGGAAUAUUUUUAUAAGUCGUCUUGGCGGGGUUAUUAAUUUAUAUCGAAUUUACGAGAGAUUGUGCAGAACGGUGCCCGACUGUGCUCCAUCUUUACCCAGGUUGCUUCGACUUCUAUAUUGAAGUAUAGCCCGUUGCCUGGCAACAGAACUUCGACUUCUGUAAUUACUCUUCCCUUUCAAUGAGUCAAUUAAUGUCCGUAAUAGUCAGUUCCUUCCAGACGAUACAAAAAAAAAAAAAAAAAGGAAGAAGAAAGAAUAGAUCUAAUGAUACGAAGACAUCCAUAUAUGC